rnacentral:rRNA from 1 species
AUUGAACGCUAGCGGCAGGCUUAACACAUGCAAGUCGAGGGGUAUUGGUUUUCGGACCAAGAGACCGGCGCACGGGUGCGUAACGCGUAUGCAAUCUACCUUUUGCAGAGGGAUAGCCCCAGAGAAAUUUGGAUUAAUACCUCAUAGUAUUUUCGAAUCGCAUGGUUUGAUUAUUAAAGUUCCAACGGUAAAAGAUGAGUAUGCGUCCCAUUAGCAGAUGGUAAGGUAACGGCUUACCAUGGCAAUGAUGGGUAGGGGUCCUGAGAGGGAGAUCCCCCACACUGGUACUGAGACACGGACCAGACUCCUACGGGAGGCAGCAGUGAGGAAUAUUGGACAAUGGGCGCAAGCCUGAUCCAGCCAUGCCGCGUGCAGGAAGACGGUCCUAUGGAUUGUAAACUGCUUUUAUACAGGAAGAAACACUCCCUCGUGAGGGAACUUGACGGUACUGUAUGAAUAAGCAUCGGCUAACUCCGUGCCAGCAGCCGACGG